rnacentral:rRNA from 1 species
UUGACCUCANAUCAGGUAGGACUACCCGCUGAACU